rnacentral:rRNA from 1 species
UGGUGGAGCAUGUGGUUUAAUUCGAUGCAACGCGAAGAACCUUACCAAGGCUUGACAUAUACGAGAACGGGCGAGAGAUCGUCAACUCUUUGGACACUCGUAAACAGGUGGUGCAUGGUUGUCGUCAGCUCGUGUCGUGAGAUGUUCGGUUAAGUCCGGCAACGAGCGCAACCCUCGUCCUAUGUUGCCAGCACGUUAUGGUGGGAACUCAUGGGAUACUGCCGUGGUCAACACGGAGGAAGGUGGGGAUGACGUCAAAUCAUCAUGCCCCUUAUGUCUUGGGCUUCACGCAUGCUACAAUGGCCGAUACAAUGGGCUGCGAUACCGCGAGGUGGAGCGAAUCCCAAAAAGUCGGUCUCAGUUCGGAUUGGGGUCUGCAACUCGACCCCANGAAGUNGGAGUCGC